rnacentral:rRNA from 1 species
ACGAACGCUGGCGGCGUGCUUAACACAUGCAAGUCGCACGGAAAGGCUCCAGCUUGCUGGAGUGCUCGAGUGGCGAACGGGUGAGUAACACGUGGGCAAUCUGCCCUGCACUCUGGGAUAAGCCUGGGAAACUGGGUCUAAUACCGGAUAGGACCUUUCUCCUCAUGGGGUUUGGUGGAAAGUUUUUCGGUGCAGGAUGAGCCCGCGGCCUAUCAGCUUGUUGGUGGGGUAAUGGCCUACCAAGGCGACGACGGGUAGCCGGCCUGAGAGGGUGAUCGGCCACAUUGGGACUGAGAUACGGCCCAGACUCCUACGGGAGGCAGCAGUGGGGAAUAUUGCACAAUGGGCGAAAGCCUGAUGCAGCGACGCCGCGUGAGGGAUGACGGCCUUCGGGUUGUAAACCUCUUUCAGUAGGGACGAAGCGCAAGUGACGGUACCUGCAGAAGAAGCACCGGCUAACUACGUG